UACGUAGGGCGCAAGCGUUGUCCGGAAUUAUUGGGCGUAAAGAGCUCGUAGGCGGCUUGUCACGUCGGGUGUGAAAGACCGGGGCUUAACCCCGGUUCUGCAUUCGAUACGGGCUGGCUAGAGUGUGGUAGGGGAGAUCGGAAUUCCUGGUGUAGCGGUGAAAUGCGCAGAUAUCAGGAGGAACACCGGUGGCGAAGGCGGAUCUCUGGGCCAUUACUGACGCUGAGACGCGAAAGCGUGGGGAGCGAACAGG
rnacentral:rRNA from 1 species